rnacentral:tRNA from 1 species
GAGUCAAAGAAUGUGCAUGUUGGCCAGGCUUU